rnacentral:rRNA from 1 species
GUGAGUCAUCGAAUCUUUGAACGCACCUUGCGCUCUAUGGUACUCCGUAGAGCAUGCCUGUUUGAGUGUCAUGAAAACAAUCAACCUUGACUUUGGUUUCAUUACCAUGGACUUGGAUUGGAUUUUGGGUGUUUGCCUAAUCUCAUGAUUGGCUCACCUUAAAUGAAUUAGCUGGACUUGUUUGUGAGGCUGGUUGGACUUGGCGUAAUAAGUAUUUCGCCAAGGACAUUGCUUUAGUAAUUGGCCAACCUCUCAACUGACUGUCUGCUUUCUAACUCUCGUGUUCAGUCUCAUGAUGUUGACACCUUUUUAUGAUCUGGCCUUCAAAUCAGGUAGGACUACCCGCUGAACUUAAGCAUAUCAAUAAGGCGAGG